AGAGAGAGAGAGAGAGAGAGAGAGAGAGAGAGAGAGAGAGAGAGAGAGAGAGAGAGAGAGAGAGAGAGAGAAACAUUUUGAAUUGGUAAUAAUGUGGCCUUGAUACAAUAAGUUAAUGCUAUGCUAUCAAUAAUGAAGAGGGAGAUAAGAUAGAAGAUAAGAAUAAGAUAGAAUAAGAUAGAUAGAUAGAUAGAAAAAUAGAUAGAUAGAUAGAUAUAGAGAAGGACAGAUA